rnacentral:misc_RNA from 1 species
GUAAUGCGAUAAGUAAUGUGAAUUGCAGAAUUCAGUGAAUCAUCGAAUCUUUGAACGCACCUUGCGCUCCUUGGUAUUCCUUGGAGCAUGCCUGUUUGAGUAUCAUGAAAUCUUCAAAGUAAAUCUUUUGUUAACUCAAUUGGUUUCUACUUUGGUAUUGGAGGUCUUUGCAGCUUCACACCUGCUCCUCUUUGUUCAUUAGCUGGAUCUCAGUGUUAUGCUUGGUUCCACUCGGCGUGAUAAGUUAUCUAUUGCUGAGGACACUGUAAAAGGUGGCCAAGGUAAAUGCAGAUGAACCGCUUCUAAUAGUCCAUUGACUUGGACAAUACUUUUAUGAUCUGAUCUCAAAUCAGGUAGGACUACCCGCUGAACUUAAGC